GACGAACGCUGGCGGCGUGCUUAACACAUGCAAGUCGAACGGAAAGGCCUUUUCGGAGGUACUCGAGUGGCGCACGGGUGAGUAACACGUGGGUGAUCUGCCCUGCACUCUGGGAUAAGCCUGGGAAACUGGGUCUAAUACCGGAUAGGACCGCACUUUAGUGUGUGUGGUGGAAAGUUGUUUCGGUGUAGGAUGAGCCCGCGGCCUAUCAGCUUGUUGGUGGGGUAAUGGCCUACCAAGGCGGCGACGGGUAGCCGGACUGAGAGGUUGGUCGGCCACAUUGGGACUGAGAUACGGCCCAGACUCCUACGGGAGGCAGCAGUGGGGAAUAUUGCACAAUGGGCGCAAGCCUGAUGCAGCGACGCCGCGUGGGGGAUGACGGCCUUCGGGUUGUAAACUCCUUUCGCCAGGGACGAAGCGUUUUGUGACGGUACCUGGAGAAGAAGCACCGGCUAACUACGU
rnacentral:rRNA from 1 species